UAUUGAAGCGAAAUCUGAUAUUUAAAUGCUAUACAACACCUAUAUAACACAUAUAAUUUUGUUCCCAGAAUGAACGGAAAUUAUAUUUGAAUUUACAAUUAAAAUAAGUAUGUUUAUAAGGGCCGAUGUCCACGUAGCGGUUUUGUACUUGCGUGCAGGCAGCGUCAACGCAAUUGCGGUAGGAAGUACCCAACAUCAAAUAGAAUCAUGCACACGCACUUGCGUUAACGCGGCGUCGACAAGCGUUUCAUUUGCGGCGAGAGUUACCGCAAAGUCACCGCAAUUCCCCACAGGAACGCUGCGUGCACGCGAGUAUUUUUUGACAUUUCUCUAUUCUUUUUCUUUCCAACAAGAUUUCUAAUGGGAAAAUCUGUGAUGUGAAAGAAUGUGUCAGAGCGAAAUCAAAACAAACAAAAAUACUUCGCAAAUCAGUUCAUUUUGGUUUCGCAAAUUAAUUUGCAAAUUGCAACACUUUUCAAAUCUAGCUUCUUUAAAUAAUAGCAAUUGUAAUAGUUCGGAGCGGUAAGUGUUUCUUUCGUUCCUGUGUUAGUACCAGUCGCGGUCAAAACACCUUUGGAAAGAACUGACAAGCAACCAUCCCAGGCUGGUGGAUAGAGUCAAAGUCAACGGAAACGGUGAUGUGGCAGUUUUGGGAUGAAUAACGGACCAGGCAAAAUUCAACCAACAUUCCGCGGGACACUGUAUACACCAAGGAAGGCGAUACCAGUUCCGCCAUGGGAAGAAUUAUUAAAUAUAGGAAUGUCAACGGAAGGAAAUCGUCAAAUAAUGUGGAUUGCAAUUGCAAGAAGAAACGAGAUCAGAUAAAGAGAUGGCGAGCUACAGUACUAAUGCGUUUCUUCUAGUGUUGUGGGCAACGCUACUGCGAUCGGUCCGUGUUGCAGUGAAGUGAAAAUUGCAAUGAUAAUAACGACGUUUGGCAUUUAGAUAGCACUUCUUUGGAAGAACAACGACAAACGUAGCAACACGCCAGCAAUCGCUUGUGAUGCUUUCGGAGGAAGAUUUUGAGCACCUUAUUUGUAGGAGUGACUGCAGUAUCUGACCAAAAUGUUUAAUGACUUUUUAUUCGUGAGCAAAUGAUUACCGAUAAAUGGAACUAAUAAAAAUCGUACCCCAAAUGAAA